AGUAACACGUGAGCAACCUGCCCCCGACUCUGGGAUAAGCCCGGGAAACUGGGUCUAAUACCGGAUACGACACACACCGCAUGGUGGAGUGUGGAAAGUUUUUCGGUCGGGGAUGGGCUCGCGGCCUAUCAGCUUGUUGGUGGGGUAGUGGCCCACCAAGGCGACGACGGGUAGCCGGCCUGAGAGGGCGACCGGCCACACUGGGACUGAGACACGGCCCAGACUCCUACGGGAGGCAGCAGUGGGGAAUAUUGCACAAUGGGGGAAACCCUGAUGCAGCGACGCCGCGUGCGGGAUGACGGCCUUCGGGUUGUAAACCGCUUUCAGCAGGGACGAAAACAGACGGUACCUGCAGAAGAAGCGCCGGCUAACUACGUGCCAGCAGCCGCGGUAAUACGUAGGGCGCAAGCGUUGUCCGGAAUUAUUGGGCGUAAAGAGCUCGUAGGCGGUCUGUCGCGUCGGAUGUGAAAGCUCGAGGCUUAACCUCGGGUCUGCAUCCGAUACGGGCAGACUAGAGGCAGGUAGGGGAGAACGGAAUUCCCGGUGUAGCGGUGAAAUGCGCAGAUAUCGGGAGGAACACCGGUGGCGAAGGCGGUUCUCUGGGCCUGUACUGACGCUGAGGAGCGAAAGCGUGGGGAGCGAACAGGAUUAGAUACCCUGGUAGUCCACGCCGUAAACGUUGGGCGCUAGGUGUGGGGACCUUCCACGGUUUCCGCGCCGCAGCUAACGCAUUAAGCGCCCCGCCUGGGGAGUACGGCCGCAAGGCUAAAACUCAAAGGAAUUGACGGGGGCCGCACAACCGGCGGAGCAUGUUGCUUAAUUCGACG
rnacentral:rRNA from 1 species